CCCCUGCAGCCGUCUCAGUCUUUGUCCUUGGCACUGCCACCACUCCAGCCUCUGCUUUUCUGCAGCCAUGUCGCCAAGAGCACUGGGCAGAGCUCUUUACAUAGAGUCAGUAACAACGUAUUGCCCACAUGUGUGCAGUGAGCAAGCUAACCAGGGCCAGGUGAGAAUCCUGGCCACAGGAACUUCCGCUUGCUCCACAGUAUUUUAAUGUGGCAAACAGUGGGUAAAAAGCAGGUAUCUUGGUCCAAAUCACACCUAGUUGCAAUUCUGUGUGCUUUAUUUGCCUGUUCACACGAACUCUGUAAUUUUUGGCCAAGGUUUGCUUAGUGAGCAGGUUUCAAAGAUGUGGAAGGAGGAGCAAUCUAAUCGAAAAAGUUCAAACCAGGAGCCAGGAGGUCUCGCCUCUCUUCCUGAUCCCCCACUGACUUCCUGAUUCUGUAACCCAGACGAGUUGCUUAUCUCCAGAUGCUUCCAGUCUCCUGACCUCCAGUCUUUCCCCUUUGUACUUCGGCCUCCACCCUCCACCCACUUAUCUUUCCUGAAAACAUAUUAAUCAUCUUUUUUUUUUUUUUUGCCUCUGAAGCAAAGUCCCAACUCCAUCACAGACAAGUGAAGUCUUUUGAGUAUCUCUCAAAGCUGAUGGCUCUUUAUCAUGGCCCUUAUGCCCAGUUACUUAGCGGUUUCCAUUCCCCCAAGCAAGCUCUUUCAUGCCUCUGUGUGUUUUCCACACACUGUCUCCAAUAUUAGCAAUGACCUUCCACACACAUUUCACCUGAGGAGCUCCUGUUUGUCCACCUUUUAAGACUCAGCUACUGGAGCCUAAGAGUUGCUUCCUUGGCGAAGCCUCCUCUAAUGCCUUCAGAUGACAUAAGCACCACCUUCAGCCUGCUCCCAUAGCAUUUUACUUGUUUAUCUCAGACCACUUAGAACCCUGAUAGAAAUUAUUUGCUUACUCAACUACCUCAGGUUCCACCUAAACCCUGGGUUCCUCUAAGUCAGGGGCCCUUGUUCUUGUAUCUUCCCUCUAGCUGUUAGCACUUAGAGGUUCCUUGAUGUAAGCUGGUUGAAAAAAAAUCAAAGGAGUUAUACUGAAUUUUACAUGUACUGUGUCUCUAACUGUGGCUGCUAUUCACUUCUCCAUAUCCCCAUGAAACCUAAUAAUAAAGAUUGUUUUGCUGAGCACUGAUCAGGCAGCAGGCACUAUUCGAUACCCUUUACACGUGAUAGCUUCAUUUAAUUGUUAUCUCAGUCUUGCAAAGCAGGCAUUACUAUCACUACUACUUUACAGAUAAAGAAACUGAGGCCCAAAGAGGUUAAGUAUGUUUCCCAAGUCAUAGUUAAUAGAUGGUGGAGCUAGGACUUAAACUGAAGAUUCUCCAACUUCAAAGCCCAUGACCUUUCCACAAAUCACGUGUUUCCUCCAAGGCCUGCACCUGGAAGGUUCUGGGUUGUUUAACUGCUCUGCACUGCACUAAAUAGGAUUGCAAGAUCGGCUUGCAGCUGGGGCCUGGCCAUCUCCACAGCCCAUCCAUGAAAUCCUAGACAGCCGGCAUGCAUGGAGACAAAGCUCAGAUCCUCUUCCUGGCAGGAGGCUGUCUUCUGGCACACGCGGCCGGCACUCCACUUCCUGGGAUCAGAUGGAGCCCUCAGCCCUCUCAAGUUCAUGGGUUUGUCCCUGAUGUCCAGCCCAGAAACUGUCUGCUCCCGGGAUCCCUAGAGAAUGAGACAUUAUUGGCUUCUGGGAUGUUUUUCUGGUCACGGAGCCCUGAAGGUGAAAGGUCUCUUGGAUGGAAGGGAACAGGCCAAGUUUAUCCAGCCCUGCAAGGCGUCAGGCGGCCUGGAGCCACAUUCCGUUAGGAUCCACGGAACAGCUGAGGCUACUUCUCCUCAGCAUGAUACCUGCCCUCCGAGGACGGCGCUCUUCCUGCCCUGAAGUGCAGCUGACAUUAGGCAGAAAUCCCACUGCAGAGCUCCCUUCAGGCUGGACCCUGUGCACAGGCCCUCGGAAACUCCCUCUUCUGUCUCUGCCUCCCCCUCCGGCGUAUGGGGAGAAGAGGAACUUGCGAAAGGGUAUGUGCUCUUGUCCUGCAAAGUCCCAUAGGAAUACAGGAGAGAGACAGAAGGGAGAAGAGUAUUUCCAUGCAUGUGAAUACCCAUUACGUGCCAGCCAUUUGACAUGCAUCAUCCCAUUCAAUCAUCACUCAUCCUGUGGUAUGAAAGAGCUGCAGACUUGGGAUCAGAGCUGCUGGCUGUGGAUCCCUGCUCACCCAACCAAUUAUCUGUAUCACCUUAAGCAAGUUACUUCACCUCUCUAAGUUUCUGUUUCUCAUCUAUAAAAUGAAGAUAGUAACCUUUCUCAGGGACCCAGAGGAGUGAGAAAACGAGGAAAGGGUGGGAGAAGAGUUGAAUACAUCAAUGUAACAUCAGCAGCUCUUUCCGAAUGAAUGACUACCCAACAAGGACAAUUUCGUGAGGUUCUACUAGGAGCCAGCAACAAUCCGGAUUCCUGAACGUAACUAUUAACUGCUCUGUUGGUUCACUGUUCUCAGUUUUGCCUUUGAGUCCUUGAUCAGCUAGAGGCAUGGCAAUUGUUGGUGACUGGUAGACACUUUUCUGUUAAAAAGAGCCAGGCUGUCUUGGUUACUCUGGGCCAUGGCUACCACACAUUGAUUGAUGUUCUAUUUCAAAACUGCCUAUAAGUCUUCUAUUUUAUUUCUAUGCCUAUCUUACAUCAAUACAACACAAAAAGUGCUGAUGGCUUAUUUGCUGUCAUCCACUGGAGUUAGUUUAAAAUAAACACACUUUAGGGCUGUUAAACUAGACACUAGACACUAUCUAGAAUUAGAUUAUACCAUCACAAAUUUGUUUUUAAGUGACUUUCACAAGAUUCUUUAGUUGUUUCCUGUUAAAUUAUCAUUUUUCUUUAGCUAGUACCUGUCUACAUUUUUUUCCUAUAACAUAAUGCCUAGGAUAAAACUAU